rnacentral:rRNA from 1 species
CCUACGGGGGGCAGCAGUGGGGAAUAUUGGACAAUGGGGGGAACCCUGAUCCAGCCAUGCCGCGUGUGUGAAGAAGGCCCUCGGGUUGUAAAGCACUUUCAGUGAGGAAGAACGCCUGGUGGUUAAUACCCAUCAGGAAAGACAUCACUCACAGAAGAAGCACCGGCUAACUCCGUGCCAGCAGCCGCGGUAAUACGGAGGGUGCGAGCGUUAAUCGGAAUUACUGGGCGUAAAGCGCGCGUAGGUGGCUUGAUAAGCCGGUUGUGAAAGCCCCGGGCUCAACCUGGGAACGGCAUCCGGAACUGUGAAGCUAGAGUGCAGGAGAGGAAGGUAGAAGUCCCGGUGUAGCGGUGAAAUGCGUAGAGAUCGGGAGGAAUACCAGUGGCGAAGGCGGCCUUCUGGACUGACACUGACACUGAGGUGCGAAAGCGUGGGUAGCAAACAGGAUUAGAUACCCCAGUAGUC